CUGGUGUUUAGCAGCUAAAUGUGACUGGGCUAUCAUCUCUGGUCACUGAGGGCAGUGUGUGUGUGUGUGUAUGAGUGUGUGUGUGUGUGUAUGAGUGUGUGUGUGUAUGAGUGAGUGUAUUUACCUGGUAUUUAUCACGUUAUGUGGAUCAAAUAUCCCCACAUGUAUAGUAAUACCAGUAAAUUUUGACUUUGUUGGGACAUUUUUUAGGUCCCCAUGAGGAAACAAGCUUAAAUCAUACAGAAUGAAGUUCUUUGAAAUUGUAAAAAUGGGAAAGUUCUCUGUAAGGUGUAGGGUUGGUGUAGGGCGAUUCAAUAUACAGUUUGUACAGUAUAAAAGCCAUUACGCCUAUGAAAUGAACCCAUAAACCAUGGAAACACAACAUUCGUGUGUGUUCUGUGGUCAGAUGGAGAGGCCUCGGCGCUGCUCGUGUGUUGGUGUUCGUGGGAAGUGAGCCGUGAUGCGUGUGUUUCUCCGUCAGUGGAUUGAUGCGUGUGUUCCUCCGUCAGUGGAUUCAUGCGUGUGUUUGGCGUGUGUUUCUCCGUCAGUGGAUUGAUGCGUGUGUUUGGCGUGUGUUUCUCCGUCAGUGGAUUGAUGCGUGUGUUUGCGUGUGGUUCUCCGUCAGUGGAUUGAUUGCGUGUGUUUGGCGUCAGUGGAUUGAUGCGUGUGUUUCUCCGUCAGUGGAUUGAUGCGUGUGUUUCU
rnacentral:lncRNA from 1 species